UACGGGGGGAGCAAGCGUUGUUCGGAUUUACUGGGCGUAAAGGGCGCGUAGGCGGUAGCACAAGUCAGUUGUGAAAUCUCCGGGCUUAACUCGGAAAGGUCAACUGAUACUGUGUGACUAGAGUGCAGAAGGGGCAACUGGAAUUCUCGGUGUAGCGGUGAAAUGCGUAGAUAUCGAGAGGAACACCUGCGGCGAAGGCGGGUUGCUGGGCUGACACUGACGCUGAGGCGCGAAAGCGUGGGGAGCAAACAGG
rnacentral:rRNA from 1 species